AGGGAGGUCACUCAGAGGCAAUGGCAAAGGGGCCUCUGGGGCCCAGCACACUUCCUGCCUGGCUGCCUGAGUUCAUCCCCUCAGCGUCCUCUGCUAUGCUGUGUCAGCAGGUUUGAUAAAAUCGCCACCCUACAGAUCUCCCCAACCCUGUCCUUGCAUUCCUCAACACCAUCCUUUCAGAGCUGCCAGAGUGGCCUGCACAGAGGGGACCAUGACAGUGACGGCUUAGAAAGUUUCUGUGGCCUCCCUCCACUUGUCAAGAAAGACAAGCCCCUCAAAAGGCCUGCCUGGGCUUCACUCAGGCUUCUUGUCUUCCCUUUGCCCCAGGAUCCUGUCGGGGCUCACACUCAGCAAAGCUGGAGACGUGUCUCCCCAUAAAUACCAAGCAGAAGCUAGAGGCCUGUGUGCAAGAUGUGAGUUUACCCAACUCCGAUCCAACAGCUGGUCACAAGCUAGCGAGAAGAGGAAAAGAAAGCAGAUCUAUGCCAAUUCAAGCCUUAAUUUCUCAGCUCUCUUAGAAAUCAUAUUUAUUUCCUGGUUUCCAGAAGCUGGGAGUCACUAUGUCAGUGGAGUCCUUUACUUACCUAUCCAAGCCCUGGAGGAGAAGCCUGAGGCUGGGCAAGCUGCUGGCAGUGUGGCUGCAGCUCAUCAGACAAGCCACCAGGUGCCAUUCAAACAGAGUUGGGGUGGCUGAGGAUGGAGGUCUUUAUGUGUCAGAUUUACUAUAAAUGUAAAAAAAACCCACUAAUGUAAAGUAUUAACUUAUUAGACGUUCCAAAAAUA